rnacentral:rRNA from 1 species
AGAGUUUGAUCAUGGCUCAGGACGAACGCUGGCGGCGUGCUUAACACAUGCAAGUCGAACGAGGCACUUGUGCCUAGUGGCGAACGGGUGAGUAACACGUGAGCAACCUGCCCCUGGCUCUGGGAUAGCCUCCGGAAACGGGGAUUAAUACCGGACAUGACCUGCUGCGGCAUCGCGGCGGGUGGAAAGUUUUUCGGCCGGGGAGGGGCUCGCGGCCUAUCAGCUUGUUGGGGGGGUAACGGCCCACCAAGGCGACGACGGGUAGCCGGCCUGAGAGGGCGACCGGCCACACUGGGACUGAGACACGGCCCAGACUCCUGCGGGAGGCAGCAGUGGGGAAUAUUGCACAAUGGGGGAAACCCUGAUGCAGCGACGCCGCGUGCGGGAUGAAGGCCUUCGGGUUGUAAACCGCUUUCACCACAGACGAAGCGCAAGUGACGGUAUGUGGGGAAGAAGCGCCGGCUAACUACGUGCCAGCAGCCGCGGUAAUACGUAGGGCGCGAGCGUUGUCCGGAAUUAUUGGGCGUAAAGAGCUCGUAGGCGGCCUGUUGCGUCUGCUGUGAAAUCCCGGGGCUUAACCCCGGGCGUGCAGUGGAUACGGGCAGGCUGGAGGCAGGCAGGGGAGAACGGAAUUCCCGGUGUAGCGGUGAAAUGCGCAGAUAUCGGGAGGAACACCGGUGGCGAAGGCGGUUCUCUGGGCCUGUUCUGACGCUGAGGAGCGAAAGCGUGGGGAGCGAACAGGAUUAGAUACCCCCGUAGUCC